rnacentral:rRNA from 1 species
GUUAGGAAUAUUGGACAAUGGGCGAAAGCCUGAUCCAGCCAUGCCGCGUGAACGAUGAAGGCCUUCGGGUUGUAAAGUUCUUUAGCCGAUGAUUAUAAUGACUGUAGUCGGAAAAUAAGCCCCGGCUAACUUCGUGCCAGCAGCCGCGGUAAUACGAAGGGGGCGAGCGUUAUUCGGAAUCACUGGGCGUAAAGCGUGCGUAGGCGGUUUUGUAAGUUAGGAGUGAAAGCCCAGGGCUCAACCUUGGAAUUGCUCUUAAAACUGCAAGGCUCGAAUCUCGGAGAGGAUAGCGGAAUUUCCAGUGUAGCAGUGAAAUGCGUAGAUAUUGGAAGGAACACCAGUGGCGUAAGCGGCUAUCUGGACGAGUAUUGACGCUGAGGCACGAAAGCGUGGGGAUCAAACAGGAUUAGAUACCCGAGUAGU